UAGAACCAAGGGUUCUUCCUAACGAAGAAAGUUUUUCUUGCCUUGGAAAGUUUGGAACUUUCGGCGUGGGAAAAAGUCUUAUGAAAGUAAAGUUUGAGUAUAAUUAUGCUGAGCUGGAAGUUUCCUAUUGCUUUCGACUCGCUUCUCCUUUGCCAGUUCCGUUUUUCUUUUUAAAGUUUCUUCACUCGAAAACUUUUCGAGAAAGUUUUGAUAUUCAGGACUCGUCCAAUGGCGUAUCUCUUGAGGACUUUCUUUUUGGAAAAAAAAAGUCUGCGUUUAACAGCGCUUUAGACGGAAUUGAGUUCCGCUUUUAUAUUAGUAAAAACGCCAUUUCUGCUGUACUUUUUGAGCAUUUUCUUUUCGAUGAUAUCAC